rnacentral:rRNA from 1 species
GAUGAACGCUAGCGACAGGCUUAACACAUGCAAGUCGAGGGGCAGCAUAAAAGUAGCAAUACUUUGGUGGCGACCGGCGCACGGGUGAGUAACACGUAUGCAACCUACCUAUCAGGAGGGGAUAACCCGGCGAAAGUCGGACUAAUACCGCAUAAAACAGGGGCACCGCAUGGUGAUAUUUGUUAAAAAUUUAUUGCUGAUAGAUGGGCAUGCGUUCCAUUAGGUAGUUGGAGAGGUAACGGCUCACCAAGCCUACGAUGGAUAGGGGAACUGAGAGGUUGGUCCCCCACACUGGUACUGAGACACGGACCAGACUCCUACGGGAGGCAGCAGUGAGGAAUAUUGGUCAAUGGGCGAGAGCCUGAACCAGCCAAGUCGCGUGAAGGAAGAAGGAUCUAUGGUUCGUAAACUUCUUUUGCAGGGGAAUAAAGUGCAGGACGUGUCCUGUUUUGUAUGUACCCUGAGAAUAAGGAUCGGCUAACUCCGUG